UGUGCCCUGACGGGGUUGAACCCACAACCUUGCGGUGCUGAGACGAUGCUCUAACCAACUGAGCUAUCCAGCAAGGGCUGCCUUUUUUCUCUGAGACUAAACACCCUUCACACUCCCACUCUGCUCAGCCCGUCCUACCACCCAGCUCCUUGGCUCCUGGUCACACAGGUCGGAGGUCCCAGCAACCCAGACCGUGGCUAAGCCCCGUUAGAAAGUGAACACAGCUGCUAAUUCAUUCUCAAUAAAUACUCGACCCAGCACUUCUGCCCCUAAGGUCACCGGUAUAGUCGACGUAUCUGAUGCCCAGGCUUGGGUUUUCCUGGUACCACCUGACCCCUGGGAAGCAUGGUGGAAGAGUCACCGAUUCAUUCAAUCAGGGGGUGCACUUAGCACCUGACUGAGUCAAAGUAAACGGCCAGGGUGUCCUGC